CAGUAGCCGCGGUAAUACGAAGGGUGCAAGCGUUAAUCGGAAUUACUGGGCGUAAAGCGUGCGUAGGCGGUGAGUUAAGUCUGCUGUGAAAUCCCCGGGCUCAACCUGGGAAUGGCAGUGGAUACUGGCUCGCUAGAGUGUGUCAGAGGAUGGUGGGAUUCCCGGUGUAGCGGUGAAAUGCGUAGAGAUCGGGAGGAACAUCAGUGGCGAAGGCGGCCAUCUGGGACAACACUGACGCUGAGGCACGAAAGCGUGGGGAGCAAACAGGAUUAGAUACCCGCGUAGUCCAUGUCUCUUAUAC
rnacentral:rRNA from 1 species